rnacentral:rRNA from 1 species
UUCGAGUGGCGGACGGGUGAGUAACGCGUGGGUAACCUGCCUUACACAGGGGGAUAACACCUGGAAACAGGUGCUAAUACCGCAUAAGCGCACAGGGCCGCAUGGCCCGGUGUGAAAAACUCCGGUGGUGUAAGAUGGACCCGCGUCUGAUUAGCUUGUUGGCGGGGUAGGGGCCCNCCAAGGCGACGAUCAGUAGCCGGCCUGAGAGGGUGGACGGCCACAUUGGGACUGAGACACGGCCCAAACUCCUACGGAAGGCAGCAG